rnacentral:rRNA from 1 species
UGGGGAAUUUUGGACAAUGGGCGAAAGCCUGAUCCAGCCAUGCCGCGUGCGGGAAGAAGGCCUUCGGGUUGUAAACCGCUUUUGUCAGGGAAGAAAUCUUCUGGGCUAAUACCCUGGGAGGAUGACGGUACCUGAAGAAUAAGCACCGGCUAACUACGUGCCAGCAGCCGCGGUAAUACGUAGGGUGCGAGCGUUAAUCGGAAUUACUGGGCGUAAAGCGUGCGCAGGCGGUUUUGUAAGACAGAAGUGAAAUCCCCGGGCUCAACCUGGGAACUGCCUUUGUGACUGCAAAGCUCGAGUACGGCAGAGGGGGAUGGAAUUCCGCGUGUAGCAGUGAAAUGCGUAGAUAUGCGGAGGAACACCGAUGGCGAAGGCAGUCCCCUGGGCCUGUACUGACGCUCAUGCACGAAAGCGUGGGGAGCAAACAGGAUUAGAUACCCUGGUAGUCCACGCCCUAAACGAUGUCAACUGGUUGUUGGGUGGGUUUCUACUCAGUAACGAAGCUAACGCGUGAAGUUGACCGCCUGGGGAGUACGGCCGCAAGGUUG